UUUACCUUUAGUGGGGAUUACAGUUGGAAACGACUGCUAAUACCGCAUAAGCUGUGCAAACAGGAAAGGCGGCCUGUGAAUAUGCUGUCGGUAAAAGAUGAGCCCGCGUCUGAUUAGUUAGUUGGUGGGGUAAAAGCCUACCAAGGCGACGAUCAGUAGCCGGCCUGAGAGGGUGAACGGCCACACUGGGACUGAGACACGGCCCAGACUCCUACGGGAGGCAGCAGUGGGGAAUAUUGCGCAAUGGGGGAAACCCUGACGCAGCGACGCCGCGUGAGCGAAGAAGGCCUUAGGGUUGUAAAGCUCUGUUUUAGGGGACGUAUGUCGGAUGGAGGAAUAUGCCAUUCGAGUGACGGUACCCUAAGAGGAAGCCCCGGCUAAAUACGUGCCAGCAGCCGCGGUAAGACGUAGGGGGCGAGCGUUGUCCGGAAUUACUGGGCGUAAAGAGCACGUAGGCGGAGAUCUAAGUCAGGUGUGAUAGACCGGGGCUCAACCCCGGGAUUGCACUUGAAACUGAGUCCCUUGAGGGCAGGAGAGGAAAGCAGAAUUCCUGGUGUAGCGGUGUAAUGCGUAGAAAUCAGGAGGAAUACCAGUGGCGAAGGCGGCUUUCUGGACUGACCCUGACGCUGAGGUGCGAUAGCGUGGGUAGCAAACAGGAUUAGAUACCCUGGUAGUCCACGUCCGUAAACGAUGGAUACUA
rnacentral:rRNA from 1 species